AUUGAACGCUGGCGGCAGGCCUAACACAUGCAAGUCGAGCGAGCGGCGGACGGGUGAGUAAUGUCUGGGAAACUGCCUGAUGGAGGGGGAUAACUACUGGAAACGGUAGCUAAUACCGCAUACCAUCAGAUGUGCCCACAUGGGUUUGGCUAGUAGGUGGGUUAACGCCUCACCUUGGCGACGAUCCCUAGCUGGUCUGAGAGGAUGACCAACCACCCUGGAAGUGAGACACGGCCCAGACUCCUCAGGGAGGAAGCAGUGGGGAAUAUUGCACAAUGGGAGCAAGCCUGAUGCAGCAAUGCCGCGUGUGUGAAGAAGGACUUCGGGUUGUAAAGCACUUUAAGCGGUGAGGCGUUACACGCAGAAGAAGAACCAGAUAACGCCGUGCCAGCAGCCGAGGUAAUUC
rnacentral:rRNA from 1 species